rnacentral:rRNA from 1 species
UACGGAGGGGGCUAGCGUUGCUCGGAAUUACUGGGCGUAAAGCGCACGUAGGCGGCUUCUUAAGUCGGUGGUGAAAUCCUGGAGCUCAACUCCAGAACUGCCUUCGAUACUGGGAAGCUCGAGUCCGGGAGAGGUGAGUGGAACUGCGAGUGUAGAGGUGAAAUUCGUAGAUAUUCGCAAGAACACCAGUGGCGAAGGCGGCUCACUGGCCCGGUACUGACGCUGAGGUGCGAAAGCGUGGGGAGCAAACAGG